UUUUUUAUUCCUUUACAGGAGGAAUUCCAUAUGACGGAUGGUCAGAAGGCAACGUAGUUGCACAGGUCACACGUGGCUACAAACUUCCAAAGCCCGAUCAUGUUGAUGAUAAACUGUAUGCUAUAAUGAAAAGAUGCUGGAAUUUUAACCCCGACUUUCGUCCUCCCUUUGAAAACCUUCUCAAAAGAAUGGAUACCUACCUUCGUGAAGAGACAUAUCUGCACCUGCUCGACAUGGAAUCUUAUGACACGACCAAAUACUCCAAGGUUGAAGAUCUCGGAGGUGAAGAUGCCGAACCAACAGCACGAACUACAACGAACGCCGCGGCAAAGAGAUUGGGAAAAUGGGCCAGCGACCGUCGUUAGACGCUGCUAUUUUAAAUACUGCUUAGGAACCUGGCCGCUAGGGUACAUUUCAGUCACUUUGUAGUACAUCAAGUAUUAGAAAAUGUGUAUUGAUGAUAACGGUGAUAAUUUAAGGGUCUUAUUGCGUUAGAAUAAACCAAAGCUGUGUCCUUAAUAACAAACUUUUAAGUCAGGUUUUUAUUAAGUUACAAUUGAUAAACAACUCAAUAUUGAUCCAGCUGAUUAAAGCAGGAUAAAAAAAAGGAAUAAGAAAUUAGAAAACAGCUCGUUAUUUGGAUUUCUUUAUUAGGCAAACUAUUUACUCCUGUUAUAUGUGAAACAAUACGAAGAUUGGUCAGCAAUGAUUCUAAUGAAGUAUUCCCUGUUGGUGAUAAAGACUUGUCAAGAUAUUUAAUUGUUUAGUAUUGAUUUAGUCAUGGAGCAGAAACUACAACUAAUGUAUUUCCCUUUCAAUUAAGUGUCAUUUAUCGACAAGAUCAUUGAUUCGCUGACAUAUCUUGUAAUGUAGUAUGGCAUGUCGUAAAAAUUGCUUAAAUUUUGGUUUCGAAAACAAUCAAGUGCAUUGUUAUUGAUGUAUUUACUAUAACCAUUUUGCUGUUAUUGUUAAAGAGCUUUUUUAUAAACGGAGAGAACCGUCUCAAUAGAGUGUUACUUAAAUCAAAUUAAUUCUUUUGCUAAUGUUUUCGACUCGUACAAGAAACAAAAAGCGCUAUUCAGAGGAGUUGUGGCUGAUGGGAACACCUUUGUUAUGAUUUAAUAGACCGGUUAUUUGAAAAUGGAAAUUCUGUUAGAGCAAGGAUGAGCGUUUUUUUUUCUCUACAUAAUGGAAACACAUUAAGCUUUUUUUUAAGUAAUGUAAAACACUCUACAUAAUAUCUGCAAUAAAAGA